UCUCCCCCACUUCAUGACAGAAGGGCCACAGGACCAAACCUGAGUGGUCACUGUCGUGGCCAGAGCUGCUUCUCCUUGCUGCUCUCAUGGGGCUGGCUUUUGUAUGAGGGCUCUGCCUAGCCUCACUCUGCUCCCAGAAGCCUGUGUUCCCACUGGUGUGCCUGCACGACUUGCUCAGCAACAGCCUCAAGACUUGCUACAAGUAUGGAGAAAUGUGGCGAGUCAGUCAGGAGUGGGACAGUAAAUAAGAGAGAGAGUUUUGCAUUGGAAGACGUUGCUCUGCCACCAUUAACUGAAAAGAGAUGGAAAACAUAAAGUUAAAUUGUCUCAAAGACCCAUAGCAGAACCAUGGAGGACUCCAAAAAGAAUUGAGCCAGUGCCUGAACAUGAGUCUACUUUCCUUCAAGUUCCUAACCCUGAGAAGCAAAAGAAUAAAGGAAACAAGAAAAAAAGACACAGGAUGAAGGGAGAAAAUACUAUCUGAGGACCUCUACCCUUCUUGUUACAUAUAUGCAGCUGCUAAAAGGUCAUAUGUCUCUAUUAAUAAUGGGCUUGGAAAAGCAUAGCAAAAAAGAAAAUGAACCCCAGAUAUAGGCUGUAAUAGCCAAACUAAGUAUAUUGAAGUGAGCUGAAAACAACCUAGACAGUUCUGAGAUGAGACUUCUGAUUGUCUGAUAAUUAAUUUGCUUUACUGUCACCGCAUGUCCCCAUACAUCUCAUCCACCUGUCACCCCAUACAUCUCAUCAUAUUGUAAACUUUUUAAUAUGCUCGGAUUACUCCUAAACAGUACAAAUAAAAAUAAUAAGCAGAAGAAAAUGAAAUGCAAAGCAGGAAGCUACAGCAGCUAUUGCAACUCAGGUUUCCUCUUCAGGCUUUUCUGUUUAUUUUGCAUUUC